rnacentral:rRNA from 1 species
UUCCUUACUAGAUAUUCACUAUUAUUCUUCAUUGAGUAGUAGUUUUUAAUCUCUUCGGGGGUUAAAUUAUUUAGUGGGUCUGGGAGCUUAGAUGUGGAAUUUUUACGGGGCUUGCUCUGUAAAAGUUUCUGCUAAGUUAACUUCUAUUAAAUAGAAUUCUAGUUCAUUUACUUUGAGUAAAUUAGAGUGUUCAAAGCAAACGUACAAAUUGUAAUGAAUACUAUUAGCAUGGGAUAAUGGAACAGGACGUUGGUUCUAUUUUAUUGGUUUCUAGAACUAAUGUAAUGAUUAAAAGGGACAGUUGGGGGCAUUAGUAUUUAAUUGUCAGAGGUGAAAUUCUUGGAUUUAUGAAAGACUAACUUCUGCGAAAGCAUUUGUCAAAGAUGUUUUCAUUAAUCAAGAACGAAAGUUAGGGGAUCGAAGACGAUCAGAUACCGUCGUAGUCUUAACCAUAAACUAUGCCGACCAGGGAUUGGAAGAUGUUUAUAAUUUAUAAAGACUCCUUCAGCACCUUAAGAGAAAUCACUAAGUUUUUGGGUUCUGGGGGGAGUAUGGUCGCAAGGCUGAAACUUAAAGGAAUUGACGGAAGGGCACCACCAGGAGUGGAGCCUGCGGCUUAAUUUGACCCAACACGGGAAAACUUACCAGGUCCAGACACAGUUAGGAUUGACAGAUUGAGAGCUCUUUCUUGAUUCUGUGGGUGGUGGUGCAUGGCCGUUCUUAGUUGGUGGAGUGAUUUGUCUGGUUAAUUCCGAUAACGAACGAGACCUCAGCCUGCUAAUUAGUUAUAUAAAUUAUUACGCUAUAAGGGUUUAUUAUAAAGGUUGAUCCUCGUGGUUGACAUUUAUGAUAAAAACUUGUAUUAAUUUAUAAAAACUUCUUAGAGGGACACUUGGUGUUUAACCAAGGGAAGUUUGAGGCAAUAACAGGUCUGUGAUGCCCUUUUAUGUUCUGGGCUGCACGCGCGCUACACUGAUACAAUCAACAAGUACAAAAGACCUUAGCUGAAAAGUUUGGGUAAACUUUUGAAAUUGUAUCGUGCUGGGGAUCGAUAAUUGUAAUUAUUUAUCGUCAACGAGGAAUUCCUAGUAAGCGCAAGUCAUCAGCUUGCGCUGAUUACGUCCCUGCCCUUUGUACACACCGCCCGUCGCUCCUACCGAUGAAUGGUCCGGUGAAAUCUUAAGAUUGAAAACAUA